ensembl:miRNA
GAAAAUUGAAGAGCUGGUGGGAAGAGAAUGCUGUGGUUCUGCUGAGGACCUGUGGGCCCCACAGCUCUCUCUCCUCUUUAGCUUUCUGCAUCUCAGUAUGUUUGUUACUC